AUGUUCACUGUUAUAUUCAUGUGUCUGUGGCUUUCACUAGGUGACUCCAUGGCAGAUCCAAUAGAGCCACUUGUUACUUCUAAAGUUGUAGGUGAAGGUGAUGAUGUUACUCUGUCCUGCAGCUACAAAAAAUUCAGUGGUACCGUAAACGACCUGCAGUGGUACAGACAAUAUCCAAAAUCUAAACCUGAGUUCCUUCUUUAUAUUUUGGAAAGUGGAGAUCUGAGUCCCAACCCUCCCCCAAGAAUGGCUGCUAAAGUUCCUGGAGAUAAACGAGUGGAUCUGCUCAUCUCCUCUGCUGCUGUAUCAGACUCUGCACUAUACUACUGUGCUCUGGCGCCCACAGUGACAGGAAAUCCAACUGCACUGUACAAAAACUACACUUUUAUUCUACAGUGUUGA